rnacentral:rRNA from 1 species
GAUGAACGCUGGCGGCGUGCCUAAUACAUGCAAGUCGAGCGAACGGACGCGACGCUUGCUUCUCUGAUGUUAGCGGCGGACGGGUGAGUCACACGUGUAUCCCCUACCUAUAAGUCUGGUAUAACUUCGGGAAUCCGGAGCUUAUCCGGUAUAAUCUUUUGAACCGCAUUGUUCAAAAGUGAAAUACGGUCUUGCUGUCACUUAUAGAUGGAUACGCGCUGCUUUAGCUGGUUGUUAAGGUAAAGGCUUACCAAGGCAACUAUGCAUAGACGACCUGAGGGGGUGAUAGGCCACACUGGAACUUGGACACGGUCCAGACUACUACGGGAGGGAGCAGUAGGGAAUGUUCCGCAGAAGGCGAAAGCCUGACGGAGCAGCGCCACGUGAGAGAUGAAGGUCUUCGGAUCGUAAAACUCGGUUAUUAGGGAAGAACAUAUGUGUACGGAACUGUGCACAGCGUGACGGUACCUAAUCAGAAAGCCACGGCUAACUACGUG